rnacentral:sRNA from 2 species
GUUCGAUUCGAGCGAAAGCGAGAAAGCGUUGCCGCAGGCAACGACCCGAAGGGCGAAGCGCGCAGCGCUGAGUCAUCCUUCCCCCCUCAUCC